GAUGAACGCUGGCGGCGUGCUUAACACAUGCAAGUCGAGCGAGAAGUUUUGAAAAGAUUCUUCGGAUGAAAUUUAAAAUGGAAAGCGGCGGACGGGUGAGUAACGCGUAGGCAACCUGCCCCAUACAAAAGGAUAGCAUUUGGAAACGAAUAUUAAUACCUUAUGAAACUUAACUAGUGCAUGCUAGGUAGGUCAAAGAUUUAUCGGUAUGGGAUGGGCCUGCGUCUGAUUAGCUAGUUGGUGAGGUAACGGCUCACCAAGGCGACGAUCAGUAGCCGACCUGAGAGGGUGAACGGCCACAUUGGAACUGAGACACGGUCCAAACUCCUACGGGAGGCAGCAGUGGGGAAUAUUGCACAAUGGGGGAAACCCUGAUGCAGCAACGCCGCGUGAACGAUGAAGGCCUUUGGGUCGUAAAGUUCUGUUCUAGGUGAUGAAAACUGACAGUAACCUAGGAGAAAGCCCCGGCUAACUCCGUG
rnacentral:rRNA from 1 species